UACGUAGGGUGCGAGCGUUAAUCGGAAUUACUGGGCGUAAAGGGUAUGUAGGCGGUAAAGUAAGACCGAUGUGAAAUACCUGAGCUCAACUUAGGAACGGCAUAGGUGACUGCAUUGCUAGAGUGAGUCAGAGGGGGGUAGAAUUCCACGUGUAGCAGUGAAAUGCGUAGAGAUGUGGAGGAAUACCGAUGGCGAAGGCAGCCCCCUGGGAUAACACUGACGCUGAGGUACGAAAGCGUGGGGAGCAAACAGG
rnacentral:rRNA from 1 species